ACCCACCCCCGUCUGUCUAAAAAAAACAAGCAGCCCGAUCCAGAUCCCCAACCCACUCGCCGCCGGCCUCCCUUCCACCUCCUCUCCUCCCUCCGUCCGCCCCCACGCCCCCCGUCGCGUGCGCCACGCCGGCCUCCAACUACGACCUCACGCAUCGAGCGCGCGCGCUGGCGCAGCCCUGAGUCACCCGCCGCGUCCACGCCGAGACGCCCUCCAUCCUCACCUUCCAGGGGAAAAAAAUCCCUGUCUGUUCAAUUAUUGUAGAGGCUGCAGCACAAGUUGCUGGACAACUUCUUCUCCGCUCACUCGCCGUCUCCCGUCUCAUGGCCGAGCUCAAGUGACAUAUAUGAGUAUAUCAUGUGCGAUUGAGGCUAUCCUGCUGAAGGGAAGGAAGAUGGAGGAGCAGAUUCUAACAGCAAGCGUUAAUUUCUUUACUUUGCUGUUAAGUAACUGUUGUCUUACUUCCUCUUAUUUGUUUCAGGCGAAUGUAUACCCAUCCACCUGAUGGUUUUCUUAGUUUAUCAAGCAGUCCACGAACGCCAACAUUCCAGCCAAUGCACUAUCCAUCUCAUGUCCCCCCUCCUAGACAACAGCAACAGGAGAAUCUCCAUUUUGUCGGUGUCCCCUCACAUGUUGCAUUCUCAACACCACCACCACCACCAGUUCAUACUAAAAGGAAAAAAACACCAUCCGAGUCUGGUUCUGGUAGAGGUUCUUUACAAAAAAAAGGCCCAUGUUGUAGAACAGGCCGGUGAUGUCUUUGGUUGUCAUGAGGCUGGCCGGUGAGAAUGCCACGUUGCCGGAGCCAAAUGAGCCCGGCGUAAACCUGCGGAGGAACAUGACAGAUACAGGAUUUUCUGAAAAUGAAAGCGAGUUCACCAUGACUACGACAGAUACUAGAUAAGCGGAAGCCGUGUUCGGAGCCACCAACAGUGUCUUCCUUGGAUUCGUUCGUGCAAUAAGGAGGGUACCCGGCCUUCUUCACGUGUCGAGCAACAAGGGUGAUCGAGGAGGAUUUUCGUGGCCCGGUGGGUGUCGUGCUCUUCAACCACUUGGAGGCGGACUUCACCGUGAAGCCCAGUGACUACUGCACACAGAUGAUCAUCCAGGUGAUUGCGAUGUCGGAGGUCGCCAAGGUGGAGGUCCUCGACGCCACCGUCCGGGGGGAGGUCCACCGGUGUCUGAACUCCAAGCCUUAGUAGAUACAUCUAGAGAAGUGGUCUGUUUAGGUUGGUGGUGGAAUGCUAGGGAAGGUACCCACCUUUAGAUGAUGGUUGUGUUCGUCUGAUGUUAAAUGGGAUGUCAUGAUUUCUUUCAGUUGAGAUGUUGUUCCUUGACACGAGUCUGAUAUUAAAUGGGAUGUUGUGAUUUCUUUCA